rnacentral:rRNA from 1 species
UACGAAGGGGGCUAGCGUUGUUCGGAAUUACUGGGCGUAAAGGGCGCGUAGGCGGCGUGUCAAGUCAGGCGUGAAAGCCCCGGGCUCAACCUGGGAACCGCGCUUGAGACUGGCAUGCUCGAGUUCGGGAGAGGAUGGUGGAAUUCCCAGUGUAGAGGUGAAAUUCGUAGAUAUUGGGAAGAACACCGAUGGCGAAGGCAGCCAUCUGGACCGACACUGACGCUGGGGCGCGAAAGCGUGGGGAGCAAACAGG